AAACAUAUGGUGUUGGGGUUACCACGUUCGCUUUGCAUUAUAAAGACAUGUUUCCGAAAGGUCUCCGGUUCAAAUCCGGAUUUGUCCG